AGGACGAACGCUGGCGGCGUGCUUAACACAUGCAAGUCGAGCGGUAAGGCCUUUCGGGGUACACGAGCGGCGAACGGGUGAGUAACACGUGGGUGAUCUGCCCUGCACUCUGGGAUAAGCCUGGGAAACUGGGUCUAAUACCGGAUAUGACCUGCUCUCGCAGUGGGGGGUGGGUGGAAAGAUUUAUCGGUGCAGGAUGGGCCCGCGGCCUAUCAGCCUGUUGGUGGGGUAAUGGCCUACCAAGGCGACGACGGGUAGCCGACCUGAGAGGGUGACCGGCCACACUGGGACUGAGACACGGCCCAGACUCCUACGGGAGGCAGCAGUGGGGAAUAUUGCACAAUGGGCGAAAGCCUGAUGCAGCGACGCCGCGUGAGGAUGAAGGCCGUUCGGGUUCGUAAACCUCUUUACAGCGAGGACGAAGCGCAAGUGACGGUACUGACAGAAGAACGCGACCGGACUAACGUACGUGACCAGCAGCCGAC
rnacentral:rRNA from 1 species